GAUGAACGCUGGCGGCGUGCCUAAUACAUGCAAGUCGAGCGAACGGACGAGAAGCUUGCUUUUCUGAUGUUAGCGGCGGACGGGUGAGUAACACGUGGAUAACCUACCUAUAAGACUGGGAUAACUUCGGGAAACCGGAGCUAAUACCGGAUAAUAUUUUGAACCGCAUGGUUCAAAAGUGAAAGACGGUCUUGCUGUCACUUAUAGAUGGAUCCGCGCUGCAUUAGCUAGUUGGUAAGGUAACGGCUUACCAAGGCAACGAUGCAUAGCCGACCUGAGAGGGUGAUCGGCCACACUGGAACUGAGACACGGUCCAGACUCCUACGGGAGGCAGCAGUAGGGAAUCUUCCGCAAUGGGCGAAAGCCUGACGGAGCAACGCCGCGUGAGUGAUGAAGGUCUUCGGAUCGUANAACUCUGUUAUUAGGGAAGAACAUAUGUGUAAGUAACUGUGCACAUCUUGACGGUACCUAAUCAGAAAGCCACGGCUAACUACGUGCCAGCAGCCGCGGUAAUACGUAGGUGGCAAGCGUUAUCCGGAAUUAUUGGGCGUAAAGCGCGCGUAGGCGGUUUUUUAAGUCUGAUGUGAAAGCCCACGGCUCAACCGUGGAGGGUCAUUGGAAACUGGAAAACUUGAGUGCAGAAGAGGAAAGUGGAAUUCCAUGUGUAGCGGUGAAAUGCGCAGAGAUAUGGAGGAACACCAGUGGCGAAGGCGACUUUCUGGUCUGUAACUGACGCUGAUGUGCGAAAGCGUGGGGAUCAAACAGGAUUAGAUACCCUGGUAGUCCACGCCGUAAACGAUGAGUGCUAAGUGUUAGGGGGUUUCCGCCCCUUAGUGCUGCAGCUAACGCAUUAAGCACUCCGCCUGGGGAGUACGACCGCAAGGUUGAAACUCAAAGGAAUUGACGGGGACCCGCACAAGCGGUGGAGCAUGUGGUUUAAUUCGAAGCAACGCGAAGAACCUUACCAAAUCUUGACAUCCUUUGACAACUCUAGAGAUAGAGCCUUCCCCUUCGGGGGACAAAGUGACAGGUGGUGCAUGGUUGUCGUCAGCUCGUGUCGUGAGAUGUUGGGUUAAGUCCCGCAACGAGCGCAACCCUUAAGCUUAGUUGCCAUCAUUAAGUUGGGCACUCUAAGUUGACUGCCGGUGACAAACCGGAGGAAGGUGGGGAUGACGUCAAAUCAUCAUGCCCCUUAUGAUUUGGGCUACACACGUGCUACAAUGGACAAUACAAAGGGCAGCGAAACCGCGAGGUCAAGCAAAUCCCAUAAAGUUGUUCUCAGUUCGGAUUGUAGUCUGCAACUCGACUACAUGAAGCUGGAAUCGCUAGUAAUCGUAGAUCAGCAUGCUACGGUGAAUACGUUCCCGGGUCU
rnacentral:rRNA from 1 species